rnacentral:rRNA from 1 species
GGUCGAAAGGGGAAAUUCAUUCGCGUUUCGGCCGUUGGAGUUGGACGUUCGUGUGACGGAUGAUGCGUUCGCGUGUUGUCUGCGCCUUAUGUCUUUCUAUCCGACGUCGAACGCGUGCACUUUUCUCCUAGUAGGACGUCGCGAUCCGUUGGGUGUCUGUCUAAGACUCGGGGUGGAGCCCAAGUGACGUACGUCGUCGUUUGGACCCUCGAUGUUCCGACAGACUCGCUCGACGGUAUGCUAAUGGCGCGGGGCCGCUAUACUUAACAGUUAGCGUUCGGCCCGUAGCAAGCACGUUCUGUGUUUGACGGCAAUCGGACCUGGUGCCGAUUCUGUCCCGGAACGACUGUUGGUUACGGUGUUCUCGAACAGACCUCGU